CGAACAAACGGGUAUCGUGCUGAGAAAGAAAGGUGCGUUAUGAAGAUAGGAGUGUGGGAGAUAGACGGCUGGAUUUUCUAUAGCUACUUUUGUAGUCUAUUGUCACGUAAACAUAAUUUUAAGUCAAAUAAAUAGAUAAAAAUUCGAAAACUUCUGAUUUUAUACUU